GGGAGAUGCAGGACAAAUCUCUUCUCUACACGCGAGCACGUAUGCGAGAUACACCAUGCAUUUAUAGGCUUCGUAACAUGCGUGUAAGAAUUCGGCUUCAAAUGAGAAUCGAAAAUGAAAUGAGAACUAUUCUAUAACUGCAAAAUAUAAGGAGAAAGCGAAAAAUGAAGGGAUAUAUAAUACAUGGAUUCCUCUGUGGGAAACUGACUUACUGCGACGGUGGAGCCAUUUUUUCCGACACCACCGGCGAGAAUGACGGAUAUGCUGCUCUGUGCAAGUAAAAUA